rnacentral:rRNA from 1 species
GGGGAAUAUUGCACAAUGGGAGAAACCCCGACACAGCGCCACCGCGUGUAGGAAAAAGGCCGUGGGUCUGUAAACUUAUUUGACCAGGGACGAGGAGACUGAGGGUCACCAACGAGAAAGCCCCGGCCAACUACGUGCCAGCAGCCGCGGUAAAACGUAGGGGGCGAGCGUUGUCCGGAAUUACUGGGCGUAAAGGGCAUGCAGGCGGUGCGCCAAGUCGGGGGUGUAAAGUUACGGCUCAACCGUGAUCUUGCAAUCGAAACUGGCGCACUGGAGUGCGGGAGAGGGAAGUGGAAUUCCCGGUGUAGCGGUGAAAUGCGUAGAUAUCGGGAGGAACGCCAGUGGCGAAGGCGGCUUCCUGGCCCGCGACUGACGCUCAUGUGCGAAAGCCAGGGGAGCAAACC